GCGACUGAGCGAAGGCAUUAGUAUCCACCUUGGGGAGUACGUUGGCAACAAUUGAAACUCAAGGAAUUGACGGGGCCCGCACAGGCGGAGGAACAUGUGUUUAAAUUCGAUGAUACGCGAGGAACCUUACCUGGACUUAAAUGUAGAUUGACAGGACUAGAGAUAGUUUCCUCUUCGGACAAUUUACAAGGUGCUGCAUGGUUGUCGUCAGCUCGUGCCGUGAGGUGUCGGGUUAAGUCCCAUAACGAGCGCAACCCCUAUCUUUAGUUACCAGCACGUAAUGGUGGGGACUCUAGAGAGACUGCCUGGGUAACCAGAGAGGAAGGUGGGGAUGACGUCAAAUCAGCACGGCCCUUACGUCCAGGGCUACACACGUGUUACAAUGGUCGGUACAAAGGGCAGCUACCUAGCGAUAGGAUGCUAAUCUCUAAAACCGGUCUCAGUUCGGAUCGGAGUCUGCAACUCGACUCCGUGAAGCUGGAUUCGCUAGUAAUCGCAUAUCAGCCAUGAUGCGGUGAAUACGUUCCCGGGCCUUGUACACACCGCCCGUCAAACCAUGGAAGUUGGGGG
rnacentral:rRNA from 1 species